UCGGCCAGCAGAGAAAUCAAAGUCAGUGUUUAAUUCUUCCAUGCCUGCCUCUGUGCCCCCUAUGAUGUAGAGAUGGAGAUGGACACAGAGAUUGUCCUGUUUGUCCACAUAGUCGGGAUCGU